rnacentral:rRNA from 1 species
UACGUAGGGUGCAAGCGUUGUCCGGAAUUAUUGGGCGUAAAGAGCUCGUAGGCGGUCUGUCGCGUCUGCUGUGAAAACUCAGGGCUUAACCCUGAGCUUGCGGUGGAUACGGGCAGGCUGGAGGCUGGUAGGGGCAAGCGGAAUUCCUGGUGUAGCGGUGAAAUGCGCAGAUAUCAGGAGGAACACUGGUGGCGAAGGCGGGUCUCUGGGCCAUAACUGACGCUGAGGAGCGAAAGCGUGGGGAGCGAACAGG